rnacentral:rRNA from 1 species
GACGAACGCUGGCGGCGUGCUUAACACAUGCAAGUCGAACGGAAAGGCCCUGCUUUUGUGGGGUGCUCGAGUGGCGAACGGGUGAGUAACACGUGAGUAACCUGCCCUUGACUUUGGGAUAACUUCAGGAAACUAGGGCUAAUACCUGAUAGGAGCUCCUGCUGCAUGGUUGGGGUUGGAAAGUUUCGGCGGUUGGGGAUGGACUCGCGGCUUAUCAGCUUGUUGGUGGGGUAGUGGCUUACCAAGGCUUUGACGGGUAGCCGGCCUGAGAGGGUGACCGGCCACAAUGGAACUGAGAUACGGCCCAGACUCGAAUGGGAGGCAGCAGAGGGGAAUAUUGCACAAUGGGCGGAAGCCAGAUGCGGCAACGCCGCGUGCGGGAUGACGGCCUUCGGGUUGUAAACCGCUGUCGCCUGUGACGAAGCGUGAGUGACGGUAAUGGGUAAAGAAGCACCGGCUAACUACGUG